UACUUGGGGUGAAGUCGUAACAAGGUAACCGUAGGGGAACCUGCGGUUGGAUCACCUCCUUACCUUAAAGAAGCG
rnacentral:rRNA from 1 species